rnacentral:rRNA from 1 species
GAUGAACGCUGGCGGUAUGCUAAACACAUGCAAGUCGAACGAAGUUUUCGGACUUAGUGGCGGACGGGUGAGUAACGCGUAAGAAUCUACCUAUAGGUUCGGGACAACAGUUAGAAAUGACUGCUAAUACCGGAUGUGCCUUCGGGUGAAAGUUUUAAUGCCUGUAGAUGAGCUUGCGUUCGAUUAGCUAGAUGGUGAGGUAAUGGCUCACCAUGGCGACGAUCGAUAACUGGUCUGAGAGGAUGACCAGUCACACUGGGACUGAGACACGGCCCAGACUCCUACGGGAGGCAGCAGUGGGGAAUUUUCCGCAAUGGGCGAAAGCCUGACGGAGCAAUACCGCGUGAGGGACGAAGGUCUGUGGAUUGUAAACCUCUUUUGUUGGGGAAGAUAAUGACGGUACCCAACGAAUAAGCAUCGGCUAACUCCGUACCAGCAGCCGCGGUAAGACGGAGGAUGCAAGCGUUAUCCGGAAUUAUUGGGCGUAAAGCGUACGUAGGCUGUUUCAUAAGUCUGUUGUCAAAGCGCGAGGCUCAACCUUGUAAAGGCAAUGGAAACUGCGAGGCUAGAGAGAGAUAGGGGCAGGAGGAACUCCAGGUGUAGCGGUGAAAUGCGUAGAUAUCUGGAAGAACACCAGUGGCGAAAGCGUCCUGCUGGAUCUCAACUGACGCUGAAGUACGAAAGCUAGGGGAGCGAAUGGGAUUAGAUACCCCAGUAGUCCUAGCCGUAAACGAUGGGUACUAGGUGUUGGUCG